rnacentral:rRNA from 1 species
AUUGAACGCUGGCGGCAGGCCUAACACAUGCAAGUCGAGCGGAUGAAGGGAGCUUGCUCCUGGAUUCAGCGGCGGACGGGUGAGUGAUGCCUAGGAAUCUGCCUGGUAGUGGGGGAUAACGUCCGGAAACGGGCGCUAAUACCGCAUACGUCCUGAGGGAGAAAGUGGGGGAUCUUCGGACCUCACGCUAUCAGAUGAGCCUAGGUCGGAUUAGCUAGUUGGUGGGGUAAAGACCUACCAAGGCGACGAUCCGUAACUGGUCUGAGAGGAUGAUCAGUCACACUGGAACUGAGACACGGUCCAGACUCCUACGGGAGGCAGCAGUGGGGAAUAUUGGACAAUGGGCGAAAGCCUGAUCCAGCCAUGCCGCGUGUGUGAAGAAGGUCUUCGGAUUGUAAAGCACUUUAAGUUGGGAGGAAGGGCAGUAAGUUAAUACCUUGCUGUUUUGACGUUACCAACAGAAUAAGCACCGGCUAACUUCGUG